UGAGCAGCAAGGCAGCAAUAGGACUGCAGUGCAGAGCACAAGGCUGCUCAGCCCAAAUAAAAGCUCCAUGCCUUGUUAGAAGGUCUCAGUGCCUGACACAGCUGGAGAGGAGUGUCCAUCUUUCCAUCACCCCCACAUCUACUCCUCCAGGAGCCUGUAGGAGGUUGGGGAAGCCAUUCAGCCCCAGAGGUCAGCCCAGGAGCAGGGGCUGCCUCGCAGACAUGUGUUCCUCAUUUGCUCAGCGUUUUGGACGCCGCUCAUUACAAUAGCAUGCAGCUGCUGCUUCUCAGCCUCUUGUUUGGGGCUGGGAUUGAACGCUGGGGGAGAAACAUCAGAACCUCACGCUGGAAUCUCACUGCUCACACGUGCAGCACAGUGUGCAGGGAAUGCAUUCCCCUGAUCUGAAUGAUCCCGCAUCGUUACGGGCCGCCUUUGGAGCCUUAGCAAAAGAGCUUGGAGGCCAAAAGAAGUGAUGGGCAGUGCUGGUGAUGGGCUGCACCUGGGUUUUACCCCAAUUCCCAGCCUGUUAUUUAUGGUUCGUGGUCUGCACUGAGCGUGACCCACGUCCUGUCUGCCCAGAUGUUGGGGCCGGUGCUGCAUUUCGGGGCAGGCUGCAGAGGAGGCUUCCAGCA
rnacentral:lncRNA from 1 species